rnacentral:rRNA from 1 species
AGCCUCCGUUUAUGUUGUGAUCAGCUUUGAUCAGCUCUUCAACUUGAGAGUUUGAUCCUGGCUCAGAGCGAACGCUGGCGGC